AACGAACGCUGGCGGCAUGCCUAACACAUGCAAGUCGAACGAGACCUUCGGGUCUAGUGGCGCACGGGUGCGUAACGCGUGGGAACCUGCCCUUAGGUUCGGAAUAACUCCCCGAAAGGGGUGCUAAUACCGGAUAAUGUCUUCGGACCAAAGAUUUAUCGCCUUUGGAUGGGCCCGCGUUGGAUUAGCUAGUUGGUAGGGUAAAAGCCUACCAAGGCGACGAUCCAUAGCUGGUCUGAGAGGAUGAUCAGCCACACUGGGACUGAGACACGGCCCAGACUCCUACGGGAAGCAGCAGUGGGGAAUAUUGGACAAUGGGCGAAAGCCUGAUCCCGCAAUGCCGCGUGAGUGAUGAAGGCCUUAGGGUUGUAAAGCUCUUUUACCCGGGAUGAUAAUGACAGUACCGGGAGAAUAAGCUCCGGCUAACUCCGUG
rnacentral:rRNA from 1 species